rnacentral:rRNA from 1 species
AGAUUGAACGCUGGCGGCAGGCCUAACACAUGCAAGUCGAGCGGCAGCACGGGUACUUGUACCUGGUGGCGAGCGGCGGACGGGUGAGUAAUGCCUAGGAAUCUGCCUGGUAGUGGGGGAUAACGCUCGGAAACGGACGCUAAUACCGCAUACGUCCUACGGGAGAAAGCAGGGGACCUUCGGGCCUUGCGCUAUCAGAUGAGCCUAGGUCGGAUUAGCUAGUUGGUGAGGUAAUGGCUCACCAAGGCGACGAUCCGUAACUGGUCUGAGAGGAUGGAUCAGUCACACUGGAACUGAGACACGGGUCCAGACUCCGUACGGGAGCAGCAGUGGGGAAUAUUGGACAAGUGGGACGAAAGCCCGUGAUACCAGCCCAUCGCCGGUCGU